AUACUGAGGCCAAGCAGGGACACCUGUGAAGCAGCCUGGCUAAGAGAGGUAGCUGAGGCUCUGGGAGCUUUGGGCUGGGCCUGCCCAGAUCUAGGGGUUGCCUACAGCAAACCAUGGUUGAGGGAGAAGAACGAGACUGGAAGUCCUAGCAACCUCUGGAGGAGAAGCAGGAGCCCACGCAGGGAUAUACUUCUGCAACUGCAGGAAAAUGCAUUGAAAAGCCUUGGUCCAGAAAGAGUCACACCGUUACUGACGGAGCUGCGAGCGGUGACAGCCUGGUUGUUCUGCUGCCAGAUCAAUACCAUUUUCUGUAAGGCUACGGCAUUCCUGACAGCACGGUCUGGCCCUACCAGCUGCUGCAAACUAACAGCUCAGCCGUCGCUGAGGAAUACUGGCUGUUUCCAUACCUCUGCACAGCACCUGCAGCAGCGUUCAGCGCCUCCACCCCCUCACCUGCCCUCCCGAGAAGCAAGGCUAUGCUUGUUAGCUGUGCUAUGGCCCCAAGCUCCUCCUGCCUUCAUAAAUCCUGCAUGUUUUCAGGGACCCAGGACAGAGAUGUUGAGGAGGAAGUUGCAAGCACACCCACAGAUAACAGAGCUUGAAAGAAUUCCAGGAAUUGCAAUUAGGUCCCUGCUGUCCUCUAAGAGGAUGAAUGUUUGCCUGAGGGGCCUGCCCUGGAAGCAGGUGGCAGUCCUGCUGAGAAAGGUUUCAGUGAAAGCUCCCGGCAUGUGGAGGCAGGCUCUCGAGGGAAGCAGCUCCUUUUUUCCAAGGAAAGCUCAUUUAGGAUAUGGACUACGUCAUCCUGCAAGAGGAAUUCAAGGAGUGGCCACCUGA
rnacentral:lncRNA from 1 species